ACGGGUGCGGAACACGUACGCAACCUUCCUUUAAGUGAGGGAUAGCUUUCGGAAACGAAAAUUAAUACCUCGUAAGAUUGUGAGAUGGCAUCAUCUUAUAAUUAUAGCUCCGGCGCUUAAAGAUGGGCGUGCGCCUGAUUAGGUAGUUGGCGGAGUAACAGCCCACCAAGCCUACGAUCAGUAACUGGUGUGAGAGCACGACCAGUCACACGGGCACUGAGACACGGGCCCGACUCCUACGGGAGGCAGCAGUAAGGAAUAUUGGUCAAUGGACGCAAGUCUGAACCAGCCAUGCCGCGUGGAGGAUGAAGGUCCUCUGGAUUGUAAACUUCUUUUAUCGGAGAAGAAACCCCGGAAUUCUUUCUGGGUUGACGGUACCCGAUGAAUAAGCACCGGCUAACUCCGUGCCAGCAGCCGCGGUAAUACGGAGGGUGCAAGCGUUAUCCGGAUUCACUGGGUUUAAAGGGUGCGUAGGUGGGUUGGUAAGUCAGUGGUGAAAUCUCCAAGCUUAACUUGGAAACUGCCGUUGAUACUAUCAAUCUUGAAUCUCGUGGAGGUAAGCGGAAUAUGUCAUGUAGCGGUG
rnacentral:rRNA from 1 species